GACGAACGCUGGCGGCGUGCCUAAUACAUGCAAGUCGAACGCUUCUUUCCUCCCGAGUGCUUGCACUCAAUUGGAAAGAGGAGUGGCGGACGGGUGAGUAACACGUGGGUAACCUACCCAUCAGAGGGGGAUAACACUUGGAAACAGGUUCUAAUACCGCAUAACAGUUUAUGCCGCAUGGCAUAAGAGUGAAAGGCGCUUUCGGGUGUCGCUGAUGGCUGGACCCGCGGUGCAUUAGCUAGUUGGUGAGGUAACGGCUCACCAAGGCCACGAUGCAUAGCCGACCUGAGAGGGUGAUCGGCCACACUGGGACUGAGACACGGCCCAGACUCCUACGGGAGGCAGCAGUAGGGAAUCUUCGGCAAUGGACGAAAGUCUGACCGAGCAACGCCGCGUGAGUGAAGAAGGUUUUCGGAUCGUAAAACUCUGUUGUUAGAGAAGAACAAGGACGUUAGUAACUGAACGUCCCCUGACGGUAUCUAACCAGAAAGCCACGGCUAACUACGUG
rnacentral:rRNA from 1 species